rnacentral:lncRNA from 1 species
GUCCAAAUCCAUUUACCUGCAAUUGUGUUCAUCUAUAUGAAUAGUUAUGUUUCUGCAAGGCAUGAUGUCUGAUGCAAAACAGAAGAUCUGCUGCAUCUAAAAUGAAAGAUCAGGACCUUAGUGUGACUGCAGUAUGCAUUGCCUGAAUUUUCCUUUCCCUCUCCUUGGAUAAAUAAGAGUGCUUCUAGUCUAGGUUACCAUAGUUUCUGGUUUCCUUAGUAACCACCUCGAGAGCAUUCAUGUGUUUGUGUCAGUAGAAAAGGGGGUGGGGGGGCUAUAAAGUAAAAAAAAACCUCUCAAACUUGGCAUGAAAAAAAAAUCCAGUUUUUUUCCUUAAUGAACAAUCAAACCAAACCUGAAACAAAUGAAGUCUCACUGGAGAUGAACUGAAAUAAUUAUGAAUGGGAUCCUCUUCUCAGAAGUGAUUUGAGAAGAAAUUGAAGUUUUCAUAGACAGUGCAUGAAAGGAGCAUUAGCAUGGCCUUAUUCCAUACACAACAGAUUACACAUAUAUCUCUAAUAAGCUAUAGACUGUGCUUGGGACUGCGUAUCCUGUGCCAGUGUAACAUCCCUGGAUGCCUCCUCCUCUUCCUUUCCAAAUAAAAUUGCAGUCUGAAUUCUUAAUAAUGUCUCGAUCUGGUGCUAUAAAAUAAGGAAUUAUGUACUGAUAGUAACACACCUUUCAUGCUGAGUAUCUAAGAGGUACAAGUGCACUCUACCUGAAUGUGCUAUCAGGAAGAAUUUUCCCAUUAAAGCACAGAAAUUGCUCUAUGUGCAUUCCUUGCUUUAUACAUCAUGGAUUUUUGACAAUAUUUGACUAUGGAAUUAUACAUUUAAGCCA